rnacentral:rRNA from 1 species
GAUGAACGCUGGCGGCGUGCCUAACACAUGCAAGUCGAACGGAGAUUACGGACGGAAGUUUUCGGAUGGAAGACUGUAAUUCUUAGUGGCGGACGGGUGAGUAACGCGUGGGCAACCUGCCCUAUACAGGGGGAUAGCAGCUGGAAACGGCUGGUACGACCGCAUAAGUCGGCGAGACCGCAUGGUUUUGCCGGGAAAUGAGCAAUCAGGUAUAGGAUGGGCCCGCGUCCGAUUAGCCAGUUGGCAGGGUAAAAGCCUCCCAAAGCAACGAUCGGUAGCCGGACUGAGAGGUCGGACGGCCACAUUGGGACUGAGACACGGCCCAAACUCCUACGGGAGGCAGCAGUGGGGGAUAUAGCACAAUGGAGGAAACUCUGAUGCAGCGACGCCGCGUGAGUGAAGAAGUAUUUCGGUAUGUAAAGCUCUAUAAGCAGGGAAGAUGAUGACGGUACCUGACUAAGAAGCCCCGGCUAACUACGUG